rnacentral:lncRNA from 1 species
CCGGGCUUCGCUUUGCAUGGUGUGGGGCUUGAACCUGCGACCUAAGCCACAAAUCCUCCACCUUUUGCCACUUGAGCUAGGCCUUGGGGGCAAACCCUUCACUCUUUUUCAGUUUUUUCAGCUUUUUCCCUCUUAUUGUUUUCUUCUUCAGCAGACUCUUCUUGUUCUUAUUUUUCCAGUUUAUUAAUUUAAUUGUAUUACCUUUUUCAGUUCUUUUUUUUUUCCAGCAGGCAGAAAUUAGUAGUUAAUUUCUAAAUUAAUUUUCUCUUAAUGCAUUGAAUCCUCAACUCAUAAUGGUUUCUCAAUACGAUGGACUAAAUGUGGACAUGUAUAACUAGAGUGCUGUAGGAAUUUGACAAAAAGAAAAUACUGAAUAAUCCAACUGAACUACAGCUAUUUAGGACUCACC